UAAACCUUUUAAAUAUUUUUUUUUUGUAAGUAACUAUAAUUAAUGGAAUUGCUAUUAUUGGUUUGGUUCUCAUAUUCCUGUCGUAAAUUGUGUUUUUUUUUCAGAAUGAGUCCAGCAUUAUCCUAGAAACGAUUGAUAUCCCAGCACCCAAAGGAAAAUAUUGUUAACAGGAACAUGCCAACGAGACCCGAAGUGGAGAGUCAGGAAAAUAAAUACCCUAGGCAAGCUUGGUGAUAUUUAAUUGUCCUACGCCGCAUGUCGAAGAAAAAGGAAGAGAGAAAAUAUUUUUCAAGGGUAAUAAAGAAGAUUCUUACAAUUUUUCUAUUGUGGUUCUAGAUGUUAAUAUAUAUUAGGUUUAAUAAUAAGAAGUCAAAUAUUGCAAGAAUAUAUAAGGCAAAUCAAUAUACUAUUAAUAUAAAUAUUGUUUUUUUUCACUCCUGUAUUUUUUACCUGAAAAAAACAAAAAUAAAGUAGGUAGGUACCUAGAACUCCUAGAAGCCAUGAUUAGCUCCCCAAGGCCCACUUCAUACCUAAUGCUGACAGCAACGUAUCAUAGCAUGAUCGUAUCAGGCCCUGUCAAACAUGAAGUGAAAACAUCUAGAACACGGGUAUGAUCUAGAGGAGUUUCAAUAUGGUAGACCAUAUGAUAACCAUACCUAUGCUACGCAGACUAUGACAUGAGCGUAACGACUCCUUCAAAAUAUUGUUGGUCGGCUCGGUCCAGUCAUGUCACGGUAUGGUGUUGGCAGGGGACGGAAUGGU